rnacentral:rRNA from 1 species
UACGGAGGGGGCUAGCGUUGUUCGGAAUUACUGGGCGUAAAGCGCACGUAGGCGGCUUUGUAAGUUAGAGGUGAAAGCCCGGGGCUCAACUCCGGAAUUGCCUUUAAGACUGCAUCGCUAGAAUUGUGGAGAGGUAAGUGGAAUUCCAAGUGUAGCGGUGAAAUGCGUAGAGAUUUGGAGGAACACCAGUGGCGAAGGCGACUGUCUGGUCUAUAACUGACACUGAGGCGCGAAAGCGUGGGGAGCAAACAGG